rnacentral:rRNA from 1 species
UACGUAGGGGGCAAGCGUUGUCCGGAUUUAUUGGGCGUAAAGAGCGUGUAGGCGGCCAGAUAGGUCUGUUGUGAAAACUCGAGGCUCAACCUCGAGACGCCGAUGGAAACCAUUUGGCUAGAGUCCGGAAGAGGAGAGUGGAAUUCCUGGUGUAGCGGUGAAAUGCGCAGAUAUCAGGAGGAACACCGGUGGCGAAGGCGGGUCUCUGGGCCGUAACUGACGCUGAGGAGCGAAAGCGUGGGGAGCGAACAGG